rnacentral:rRNA from 1 species
GACGAACGCUGGCGGCGUGCUUAACACAUGCAAGUCGAACGAUGAAGCGGUGCUUGCACCGUGGAUUAGUGGCGAACGGGUGAGUAAUACGUGAGUGACCUACCUUUGACUCUGGGAUAAGCCUGGAAAACUGGGUCUAAUACCGGAUACGACCAAUCUCUGCAUGGGGUGUUGGUGGAAAGCGUUAUGGAGUGGUUUUAGAUGGGCUCACGGCCUAUCAGCUUGUUGGUGAGGUAAUGGCUUACCAAGGCGACGACGGGUAGCCGGCCUGAGAGGGUGACCGGCCACACUGGGACUGAGACACGGCCCAGACUCCUACGGGAGGCAGCAGUGGGGAAUAUUGCACAAUGGGCGCAAGCCUGAUGCAGCGACGCCGCGUGAGGGAUGACGGCCUUCGGGUUGUAAACCUCUGUUAGCAUCGAAGAAGCGAAAGUGACGGUAGGUGCAGAGAAAGCGCCGGCUAACUACGUG